rnacentral:rRNA from 1 species
GAGUAAUGUCUGGGAAACUGCCUGAUGGAGGGGGAUAACUACUGGAAACGGUGGCUAAUACCGCAUAACGUCGCAAGACCAAAGAGGGGGACCUUCGGGCCUCUUGCCAUCAGAUGUGCCCAGAUGGGAUUAGCUAGUUGGUGAGGUAACGGCUCACCAAGGCGACGAUCCCUAGCUGGUCUGAGAGGAUGACCAGCCACACUGGAACUGAGACACGGUCCAGACUCCUACGGGAGGCAGCAGUGGGGAAUAUUGCACAAUGGGCGCAAGCCUGAUGCAGCCAUGCCGCGUGUAUGAAGAAGGCCUUCGGGUUGUAAAGUACUUUCAGCGGGGAGGAAGGUGUUGUGGUUAAUAACCGCAGCAAUUGACGUUACCCGCAGAAGAAGCACCGGCUAACUCCGUGCCAGCAGCCGCGGUAAUACGGAGGGUGCAAGCGUUAAUCGGAAUUACUGGGCGUAAAGCGCACGCAGGCGGUCUGUCAAGUCGGAUGUGAAAUCCCCGGGCUCAACCUGGGAACUGCAUUCGAAACUGGCAGGCUUGAGUCUUGUAGAGGGGGGUAGAAUUCCAGGUGUAGCGGUGAAAUGCGUAGAGAUCUGGAGGAAUACCGGUGGCGAAGGCGGCCCCCUGGACAAAGACUGACGCUCAGGUGCGAAAGCGUGGGGAGCAAACAGGAUUAGAUACCCUGGUAGUCCACGCCGUAAACGAUGUCUACUUGGAGGUUGUGCCCUUGAGGCGUGGCUUCCGGAGCUAACGCGUUAAGUAGACCGCCUGGGGAGUACGGCCGCAAGGUUAAAACUCAAAUGAAUUGACGGGGGCCCGCACAAGCGGUGGAGCAUGUGGUUUAAUUCGAUGCAACGCGAAGAACCUUACCUGGUCUUGACAUCCACAGAACUUUCCAGAGAUGGAUUGGUGCCUUCGGGAACUGUGAGACAGGUGCUGCAUGGCUGUCGUCAGCUCGUGUUGUGAAAUGUUGGGUUAAGUCCCGCAACGAGCGCAACCCUUAUCCUUUGUUGCCAGCGGUCCGGCCGGGAACUCAAAGGAGACUGCCAGUGAUAAACUGGAGGAAGGUGGGGAUGACGUCAAGUCAUCAUGGCCCUUACGACCAGGGCUACACACGUGCUACAAUGGCGCAUACAAAGAGAAGCGACCUCGCGAGAGCAAGCGGACCUCAUAAAGUGCGUCGUAGUCCGGAUUGGAGUCUGCAACUCGACUCCAUGAAGUCGGAAUCGCUAGUAAUCGUGGAUCAGAAUGCCACGGUGAAUACGUUCCCGGGCCUUGUACACACCGCCCGUCACACCAUGGGAGUGGGUUGCAAAAGAAGUAGGUAGCUUAACCUUCGGGAGGGCGCUUACCACUUUGUGAUUCAUGACUGGGGUGAAGUCGUAACAAGGUAACCGUAGGGGAACCUGCGGUUGGAUCACCUCCUUACCUUAAAGAAGC